rnacentral:rRNA from 1 species
AGAUGCGAGAGUAGAGCAUAUCAAUAAGCGGAGGAAAAGAAACUAACUAGGAUUCCCUCAGUAACGGCGAGUGAAGCGGGAAGAGCUCAAAUUUGAAAUCUUCAAGGUUCUACCUUGACGAAUUGUAGUUUAAAGAAGUGUUUUCUGUUGGAGUUUUGGUAAAAGUUCUUUGGAAUAGGACAUCAUAGAGGGUGAGAAUCCCGUAUUUGACCAUUAUUUCCAACUUUGUGAUACACUUUCAAGGAGUCGGAUUGUUUGGGAAUGCAGUCCAAAAUGGGUGGUAGAUUUCAUCUAAAGCUAAAUACUGGCGAGAGACCGAUAGCGAACAAGUACCGUGAGGGAAAGAUGAAAAGAACUUUGAAAAGAGAGUUAAACAGUACGUGAAAUUGUCAAAAGGGAAGCGUUUGACACCAGUGUUGUUUUCUCGAAAAUCAAUUAAAAAUGGUGGGAUUUUGUGUUGUAUUGACUUUAUCAGCUUUCUGCACUUUUUUCCUAUCUUUUUUAAUGCACUUUUCGUUUAACAAGUCAACAUCAAUUUCUUUUGUUGUAAAAGGGUCAGUAGGAAGGUGGCUUUCAGCUUCGGUGAAAAGUGUUUAUAGCCUUUUGCUUCUGCAGUCGGAGAGAUUGAGGUCUGCAGCGUAGACUCCUUCGGGGUUAGAUACAUUUGUGCUAAGUUAUAGCCUUUCAUAGACAACUUGUUGACUAUGUUAGUCUUGUAGCUUACUCGCUUAUGCUAUUUUACCUACGCUUAGGAUGUUGACGAGACUGUCGAUCUC